rnacentral:rRNA from 1 species
UACGUAGGGCGCAAGCGUUGUCCGGAAUUAUUGGGCGUAAAGAGCUCGUAGGCGGUGUGUCGCGUCGGCCGUGAAAACCUGCAGCUUAACUGUGGGCUUGCGGUCGAUACGGGCAUCACUGGAGUUCGGCAGGGGAGACUGGAAUUCCUGGUGUAGCGGUGAAAUGCGCAGAUAUCAGGAGGAACACCGGUGGCGAAGGCGGGUCUCUGGGCCGAUACUGACGCUGAGGAGCGGAAGCGUGGGGAGCGAACAGG